UAGGGAAUCUUCCACAAUGGACGCAAGUCUGAUGGAGCAACGCCGCGUGAGUGAAGAAGGUUUUCGGACCGUAAAGCUCUGUUGUUGGUGAAGAAGGAUAGAGGUAGUAACUGGCCUUUAUUUGACGGUAAUCAACCAGAAAGUCACGGCUAACUACGUGCCAGCAGCCGCGGUAAUACGUAGGUGGCAAGCGUUGUCCGGAUUUAUUGGGCGUAAAGCGAGCGCAGGCGGAAGAAUAAGUCUGAUGUGAAAGCCCUCGGCUUAACCGAGGAAUUGCAUCGGAAACUGUUUUCUUGAGUGCAGAAGAGGAGAGUAGAACUCCAUGUGUAGCGGUGGAAUGCGUAGAUAUAUGGAAGAAUACCAGUGGCGAAGGCGGCUCUCUGGUCUGCAACUGACGCUGAGGCUCGAAAGCAUGGGUAGCGAACAGGAUUAGAUACCCUGGUAGUCCAUACCGUAAACGAUGAGUGCUAAGUGUUGGGAGGCUUCCGCCUCUCAGUGCUGCAGCUAACGCAUUAAGCACUCCGCCUGGGGGAGUACGACCGCAAGGUUGAAAC
rnacentral:rRNA from 1 species